UACAGGGGGGGCAAGCGUUGUUCGGAAUUACUGGGCGUAAAGGGCUCGUAGGUGGCCAACUAAGUCAGACGUGAAAUCCCUCAGCUUAACUGGGGAACUGCGUCUGAUACUGGAUGGCUUGAGUUUGGGAGAGGGAUGCGGAAUUCCAGGUGUAGCGGUGAAAUGCGUAGAUAUCUGGAGGAACACCGGUGGCGAAGGCGGCUCACUGGCCCGGUACUGACGCUGAGGUGCGAAAGCGUGGGGAGCAAACAGG
rnacentral:rRNA from 1 species